GAAACGAAAUACUAUUGAUGAAUUGUCAAUUGAGACUUGGCGUCAUGUUUACAUUCCAACAUAAGUAGUUGCGUCCCGAUGUACUCUGCAGUUGA